AGCUACAGGGCACAGAUGAUAUAAUAAUCAAGGGCUGUGCCAGAUUACAAACCCAGCUCUGCUUUAUCGGCAUUACUUGCAACAGCUAUUUUCCAGCCUGCAUCGGAUGACAUUACAUAAUACCGCUCUGCCUCCACAUAUACACUGCAGGUAAUGGAGAUUGCGGUGAUAUCAGUUACAAUAAUGAAUUGGGCGUUGGACGAUUAGACAUUUCUGUUCUGUUUGUCAAAGGCAUCAGAUUGUGAGCGGCGUCACUUAGAUUGUGAGCUCCAGUGGAGAGAGCGAGCGAUGAUAAUGUCCGUAGACCUCUGCGCAAUAUGUCAGCGCUAUAUAAGUGAAUUAAAAUAAACCGCGCGGCCGGCUCAGACACUACACCCCCUGGAAUAUAAUGACGCACAUACUGUCCACUGCACAGCUGCCACCUGUUGGUCAAUGUGGAGCAUGACAUCCAUCGCUGCUGCACAACAGGCCUCGCUAACCUCCAACUGUUGUAAAAAUACAACUCUCAGCAUGGCCUGAGCUGCUUUCUCCACUCUCCCCAUUGAAAGCACACACGGCUGAGCCAAAAGUGAGGGAUCUGUCAGUAUAUCGAGUGUUUGUGCCGACACCUGCCUUUAGAGGCCGCCGAGGCGGUCCAGCGCUGCCGGUCAGUUCCUUGUCUUACCAUGAGGGUCAUUUAUCCGGUACACAGAAGACAGAGAAGAGUCCGGCCAAACAUUUCUGCCAGAUCAAAGGGUGAACAAGCCUCUGAACUGCAGAGAUGAAAGAGUUAAUUUGGUCACCUACUAGAACUUUACGACCUGUAGGGCUGGAUAUAAGGAGGGCCACAUGCCCUGGGGUUUCGCCACUGCUUCCAUAACCCACCUUUCCUAUAGAUGAAUGUAGGAAGUUAGGUGGGGUCCGACUCCCACAGCUGAAGAGCCCCACCUAAUUUUUUGCCCAGGGGCUUCCACCCAUCUUCAUUCAGCCCUGUCUGUAAUGGCUGAUAAAAGAGAGGAUAGCUGCUAGGAAUAAAGCAUCUUGUAGGGGUAUAGAAUAGGAGUACAGUCCGGGGGACCCACACAUCCAUACAUUAGAUGGACAGUCCAUUGAAGUCACUGAGAACUGUGCAAUGCUUCACUUCACCACCGGUAGCGCUGCAGGGAAAUGGAAUACUUAUUGCUGGGUUCCUCUACAGACUGCAUCUGAUCGCUGAAGAUCAAGCUGUGGAACACCAUGUGGUUAGUUGGCCCCUUCAAAGGGGUUCUCCAGGAAUUUGACACUGAUGGCCUAUCCUCAGGGAUAGAUCAGCAGUAUCAUAUUGGUGGAGGUCCGACUCCCAGGACCCCUGGCAAUCAAAGAGGCCGUGAGCGGUUAGGCCUCUUCCUAGGCCGGUGACGUCACGUUCAUCGGUCACGUGGCCUAGGCGCAGCUCAGUCCGGUAAGGGCAGCAUCUUCAAACAGGCUCGCCCCCCACCGAUCUGAUAUUGAUGACCUAUCCCCAAUAUCAAAUUCCUGGAGAACCCCUUCAAGUUUCUAGACUCUUUGAUACCUGGAAUGGAAUAAGAUGGAAUAAUUCUGCUAAUUUCUGGUGACCUCUGGGGUCAUCCAGUGAUUGGCAGCAGGAUUAAAUUCUAGACACAAGCUCUAUGUGAACGGCUCUCUAGUGCAGCAGGUUCUCUGGUCCUCCUGAUGUUGCAGGAGAAGCGUCUCAAGCAUAUAUAUAUAUAUACUCAUUGUUAGACCUCUCUUCAAAAGAUAAAUGUCCCCAUAACCAUUGUCUACCUUGUAGAUUCAAUGAAUUUUUCACAAAACCUUGUUGGCCCAUAACCUAAAGCAAUUAGAGAAGAGUCUCAUAAAACUGUUCACUGCUGAUCACUAUCGUCUCCUAAAAUUCAAAGCAAUGUAGAUACUUGGCCCGAAGUCAUUCACUAGUCCCCACCGUAUCUUACUUAGCAUAAAACCAUCUUUGGUCCACAAAGGGACUUAAUGAUAGUUGAGUAUCUCACCAUGAGGUCCAUCCGAAUUCAACCAGGAGAAAGAAAAACCUAAGGGAACCCUAGUCAGCACAUUGACUUUAGAUGUGGAUGAUACUGCCCUGUUGGAACAGGUGUUAGUGUUGGUUCUUCCUAAAUAGAUGAUACAAUCAACUGAUCUUGUGAAAUGUAAAUAUAAUAAAAGUGUUGUCAAGGUCAGUCAGCGGCUGAUAAAUAACAAGCACCUCCUAAAUCAAUAUGAGCUUCUUACAUGAUCAAUGAGACCCACUAAUGUCCAUGAGCUGUAACUAGUAGUGCAGUCCGGCCCAUGCACUUCAUUCAUGAUAACCUGCAAUACCAGACAUGACCAAUGGAAAACAGUGGCGCAGUUUCU